rnacentral:siRNA from 1 species
UUUUAUGAGGUAAAGCGAAUGA